AUCAAUGGUGAACUGAGGAGGGCAGCCGAAAGGCUGGCCGGAUGAUGAUCCCGGUUGUAGCAACCCUGUUCAGUUCACCACCAAU
rnacentral:antisense_RNA from 1 species